rnacentral:rRNA from 1 species
CCUACGGGAGGCAGCAGUGAGGAAUAUUGGUCAAUGGGCGCGAGCCUGAACCAGCCAAGUAGCGUGAAGGAUGACUGCCCUACGGGUUGUAAACUUCUUUUAUAAAGGAAUAAGGUGAGGCACGUGUGCCUUUUUGUAUGUACUUUAUGAAUAAGGAUCGGCUAACUCCGUGCCAGCAGCCGCGGUAAUACGGAGGGUCCGAGCGUUAUCCGAAUUUAUUGGGUUUACAGGGAGCGUAGACGGGUUGUUAAGUCAGUUGUGAAAGUUUGCGGCUUAACCCUAAAAUUGCAAUUGAUACUGGCCAGCUUGAGUCUUGUUGAGGGGGGUAGAAUUCGAUGUGUAGCGGUGAAAUGCAUAGAGAUGUCGAGGAAUUCCGGUUGCGAAGGCGGCUCCCUAAACAGAGACUGACACUCAUGUGCGAAAGCGUGGGGAUCAAACAGGAUUAGAUACCCUUGUAGUC